rnacentral:lncRNA from 1 species
GAUUAUACCAUCUGCUUUCUGCCUUCCAGAAUUCAUAAAAUCGUCUUUCUAAUCAUCACCCCUUUCUUUUUUCAACUCCUUUGUGGACAUUUUAUUCCAUUUUCUGCAUCUCUUUUGUUUUUGUUUUUUUUCUUUAUUUCUUAUUUCAGAGGAUUGGAGUGGGAAGGAUAAGGUAUACUGUGUUUCAGCCUUGCAUUUAAACCAAAAGUCUCAACCAUGUUUUUUUGUUGUUGUUGUUGUCUUUUUUGAGACGGAGUCUCACUCUGUCGCCAGGCUGGAGUGCAGUGGCACAAUCUCGGCUCACUGCAACCUCUGCCUCCCAGGAGAAUCUCUUGAGCCUGGGAGGUGGAGGUUGCCCUGAACCAAGAUGGUACCACUGCACUCCCGUCUGGGAGAGAGAGUGAAACCUUGUCUCAGA